rnacentral:rRNA from 1 species
GACGAACCGUGCGAACGUUAUUCGGAAUCACUGGGCUUAAAGGGCGCGUAGGCGGGCUGUCAAGUCUGGGGUGAAAUCCCGCGGCUCAACCCGUGGAACUGCCUCAGAUACUGACGGCCUCGAGGAAGGUAGGGGCAUGCGGAACUGUAGGUGGAGCGGUGAAAUGCGUUGAUAUCUACAGGAACUCCGGUGGCGAAAGCGGCGUGCUGGACCUUUUCUGACGCUGAGGCGCGAAGCCAGGGGAGCGAACGGG